UUGGAGGGCAAGUCUGGUGCCAGCAGCCGCGGUAAUUCCAGCUCCAAUAGCGUAUAUUAAAGUUGUUGCAGUUAAAAAGCUCGUAGUUGAAUUUCGGGGCUAGUAGGUUGGUCAUGCCUCUGGUAUGUACUGGUCUCACUGAUUCCUCCUCCCUUAUAAACCGUAAUGCCAUUAAUUUGGUGUUGCGGGGAAUUUGGACUGUUACUUUGAAAAAAUUAGAGUGUUUAAAGCAAGCUAACGCUUGAAUACAUUAGCAUGGAAUAAUGAAAUAGGACG
rnacentral:rRNA from 1 species